rnacentral:tRNA from 1 species
ACUUUAGCUCAGUAGGUAGAGCAACUGACUUGUAAUCAGUAGGUCACCAGUUCGAUUCCGGUAAGU